rfam:Canis lupus familiaris chromosome 1, whole genome shotgun sequence.
AGGAGGAACAGCCCCAGUGGCGGGGCCAGGUCUGGAAACCUGGAUUCAGCUCCGGCAGGAACUCCGUCUGCAGGGCCUGGAGGCUCCGGGGCGGG